rnacentral:RNase_P_RNA from 11 species
UCGCGCCUGACGUUUAUCGUCAGGGGAGGAAAGUCCGGGCACCGUAGGGAAGCAUAGCGGCUAACGGCCGUCAGGCUGACAGCAACGUCAGUCGAGGACAAGUGCAACAGAAAGGA